UAUACGGGCAUGAUGAUCGCCUCACUUCGGUGGGGAGGAAAGUCCGAACACGCCCAAGCGUAAGCUUGGAGCAGGGUAGCGGGUAACACCCGUCGUACCAGCAAUGGUAUAGAGGUGCGAGCAGUGACGCCGGGCGCGAAAGCAAACGGAUUCCUUCGGGAAUAAUCGGUAUGGAAACAUACCGGGUGAAACGGCAAAAUCCUUACUUGCGUGCAAGGCCGCGCUAUCGAGGGCUUUAAGCAGAAGUAUAUUUUACGCUUAAAGCCCUCGAUAGAGAGCCGCAUGAGGUGAGUGGUAACACUCAUCCUAGGUAUAUGAUCAUCCGAAGAGCAAUCUUCGACAGAAUUCGGCUUAUAUGCACACAAAAGCA
rfam:Candidatus Kaiserbacteria bacterium RIFCSPLOWO2_12_FTLL_45_26 rifcsplowo2_12_scaffold_0, whole genome shotgun sequence.